GUCACAUUGCAGCCGGUGGCGAUGUCUGUGGUGUCUGUCACAUGCUGUUGAACACAGCUCUUAAAUGCUUUCUGACCACUCGAUGGGGAAAUAGCCUCGGCACAAUGGAGUACCUUUCCCAAGGUCACACAGCUGGUACGUGGCAAAGGCAGGAGUCCCUCUUGGACAAUCCCUGGGACCUAGGAGAUGCUCAGUGACCCUCACUGAUCAGCUCCCGUGGCCCCCCCAUCCAGGAGAUGUCUUGGGCCCAGGGUCAUUUUCCCUGGGAUCUUCCAGGUCAAGUGUCAGAAAGCGUAAAGAUAGGCCCA
rnacentral:lncRNA from 1 species